UACGGAGGGUGCAAGCGUUAAUCGGAAUUACUGGGCGUAAAGCGUGCGCAGGCGGUUUGUUAAGUCUGUUGUGAAAUCCCCGAGCUCAACUUGGGAAUUGCAAUGGAUACUGGCAGGCUGGAGUAUGGUAGAGGAAGGUGGAAUUCCCGGUGUAGCAGUGAAAUGCGUAGAGAUCGGGAGGAACACCAGUGGCGAAGGCGGCCAACUGGGCUUGUUCUGACGCUGAGGUGCGAAAGCGUGGGGAGCGAACAGG
rnacentral:rRNA from 1 species